rnacentral:rRNA from 1 species
AGUGAACGCUGGCGGUAGGCCUAACACAUGCAAGUCGAACGGCAGCACAGUAAGAGCUUGCUCUUACGGGUGGCGAGUGGCGGACGGGUGAGGAAUACAUCGGAAUCUACUUUUUCGUGGGGGAUAACGUAGGGAAACUUACGCUAAUACCGCACACGACCUACGGGUGAAAGCAGGGGAUCUUCGGACCUUGCGCGAUUGAAUGAGCCGAUGUCGGAUUAGCUAGUUGGCGGGGUAAAGGCCCACCAAGGCGACGAUCCGUAGCUGGUCUGAGAGGAUGAUCAGCCACACUGGAACUGAGACACGGUCCAGACUCCUACGGGAGGCAGCAGUGGGGAAUAUUGGACAAUGGGCGCAAGCCUGAUCCAGCCAUACCGCGUGGGUGAAGAAGGCCUUCGGGUUGUAAAGCCCUUUUGUUGGGAAAGAAAAGCAGCAGGUUAAUACCCCGCUGUUCUGACGGUUCCCAAAGAAUAAGCACCGGCUAACUUCGUG